rnacentral:tRNA from 2 species
AACUAGAAGUUCUGUUAGUGAACUUUUCAUUUACACUGAAAUAGGUCUUGUGCAAUUCAAGAUUAGUUGAU